ACCUGGUCACAAUCAGUGCCACUGACAGAAAUAAAUGGAUGUAUGGGGAUAAGCUAUCGGCGAGAGAAGUAGUUUUCGUUUCAAUUCAGCAGAGAAUCGUUACUGUCCGCUCAAUCUGUCCUCGGAAAUCGUGAGUACGACGAGGAGUAUAUGUGUAGAAAAUACACACGUUCAUAGUUACAUCAACGUCUACGUGUAUGGGAUAUUUGUGUUCACCUGAUCGGACGUGCGUCGACUUAAAUCAGAAGUGAGUUACUCCCGUUAAAUCGCCCGCGGUCAAACUUCUCUCGGAAUCUGUAUACUCUUAUACGUGUGGAUAACAUGCACUAAUACAUGAAGAACACUUUAUGCGCCUGUGUGAGACAUUAUAUCUUGAAUCAUACAUUUGAAAAAAGAAAAAAUAAUCCCACGUGAUGUAUUACUAAAAUAAGUCGAAUAUAAAAAAAGAAAAAAGAUAAAAAAGAAACAUCACAAAUUCUGGACAAAUUAAUAGAAAUAUUUUGCCAAGAAAUUACGAUAACCUAGUCUAUCGAACUUUUGAUAUGAUAUAAAUGAAAAGAAGAUGGAAAAAGGGAAGAAAACAUA
rnacentral:lncRNA from 1 species